rnacentral:rRNA from 1 species
AACUGAGGGGGGCUGCUCCUAGUACGAGAGGACCGGAGUGGACGCAUCACUGGUGUUCGGGUUGUCAUGCCAAUGGCACUGCCCGGUAGCUAAAUGCGGAAGAGAUAAGUGCUGAAAGCAUCUAAGCACGAAACUUGCCCCGAGAUGAGUUCUCCCUGAGACUUAGAGUCUCCUGAAGGAACGUUGAAGACGACGACGUUGAUAGGCCGGGUGUGUAAGCGCAGCGAUGCGUUGAGCUAACCGGUACUAAUGAACCGUGAGGCUUAACCUUACAACGCCGAAG